AAAAAAAAAACUCUCUCUUUCUUCAGAUCUUUCUCUACCCAAAAUUCAAAAACUCUCUCACACCAUUACUCAAUCUCCAUGGCUACAACUUGCAGUCACUGUGUCCCACACCUCCACUACCGACGGAGUUUCGGUACGUUCUUGUCUCUCUCCUUCAGCUGCUGGAGGUGCUAUCGUCUGUGCCACCACCACUAGUGGCCGCCGGGAUAAAAUAUUAGCCUCUGCUGCAAUGAAGUUCAAUGUAUCUUGCCAGAAAAAUGUUUUGAAGCAUUCCAUGAAGUAUUGAAGCCAUGUAUCUUGCUGUCAAUAGGCUAAUUUUUCAGUAUCAAUGAAACACUGAAUGUAUUCUUUAGUUUUGACACUUACUAGUUUUCAUGUUCAUAUACAAAAACGUUUACAUGGAUUUAGAGUACAAACCAAGAAGAAUGUAAUAAAAUAUAGUUAUUCUUUUAUUGAUAUUGAUUUGAGAAUGUAAUAAAAUGUAAUUGAUUGUGUGCC